UGGAAUUCAUAUUAUUUUAUUGUUUUGGC
rnacentral:piRNA from 1 species